rnacentral:lncRNA from 1 species
CGUGUACAUCUGCACCCGGGAUCUGAACCCACAAACCCCAGGCCGCUGAAGCAAAGCACGUGAACUUAACCACUAUGCCACCAGACUUCCUGAGUUCCAGCCUUAGCCUCCUGCGAGGUCAACGGACUCAGGGUGAAGAAGCCCCAGUGGAUACAGAGAGCAUAUUCCUGAUUAGGGAGCUUUACAAGAAAUGUUAAAAAUAGCACUUCAGCACAUCAUCUGUGACCUUCUGCACUUAUUCAAAUGUGACGGAGGCAAAGUAGAUGCGGCCUGCAAAAGAAAAGGCAAAACUCCCAGCCUCUGUUUCAGAGAAGACAUCUCCGUCCAUCGUUUGGGGCUGAAUAAGCUACCUUCCUGGAUCACUUUUCUGAACAGCCGUGCCUUGGAAGGGGGCCUGAGCUGGACACCAGGGGACCUGGUGCUUUCACAGCCCUGCUGAGGAUUAGCUGUCUGACCUUGGAAAAGUCCUUUAAUCUCUUGGGGCUUCAGUUUCCUCUCCACUUAAUCUCUGAGGAACUUUCCAGUUCAAAAAUUAUUCUAUGACAGCAUUAUGCUUAAAGGAAAAGCAUUCUUGUGGACUUCCAACACAGUCUAUACCAAAACUGAUAUAUAAUAAUGUACACCUGAAAUUACACAAUGUUAUAAACCAAUAUGACCUCAACAAAAUAAAAAAUAAAAUAAAAUUAUAACAAAAAAAUUACUUAAAUACACAAACUUAGAACUAGAUAUAAACUCCUCAUGCAAAUAAUUUUAGAGAUUUGAAACAAGC